ACAGCAGCAGCCACGGGAAUACGAAGGGUGCAAGCGUUACUCGGAAUUACUGGGCGUAAAGGGUGCGUAGGUGGUCUUUUAAGUCUGUUGUGAAAUCCCUGGGCUCAACCUGGGAAUGGCAGUGGAUACUGGAAGGCUAGAGUGCGGUAGAGGGUAGUGGAAUUCCCGGUGUAGCAGUGAAAUGCGUAGAGAUCGGGAGGAACACCAGUGGCGAAGGCGGCUACCUGGACCAGCACUGACACUGAGGCACGAAAGCGUGGGGAGCAAACAGGAUUAGAUACCCGCGUAGUCCCUGUCUCUUAUAC
rnacentral:rRNA from 1 species